rnacentral:rRNA from 1 species
GACGAACGCUGGCGGCGUGCUUAACACAUGCAAGUCGAACGGAAAGGCCCUGCUUUUGUGGGGUGCUCGAGUGGCGAACGGGUGAGUAACACGUGAGUAACCUGCCCUUGACUUUGGGAUAACUUCAGGAAACUGAGGCUAAUACCGGAUAGGAGCUCCUGCUGCAUGGUGGGGGUUGGAAAGUUUCGGCGGUUGGGGAUGGACUCGCGGCUUAUCAGCUUGUUGGUGGGGUAGUGGCUUACCAAGGCUUUGACGGGUAGCCGGCCUGAGAGGGUGACCGGCCACAUUGGGACUGCGAUACGGCCCAGACUCCUACGGGAGGCAGCAGUGGGGAAUAUUGCACAAUGGGCGGAAGCCUGAUGCAGCAACGCCGCGUGCGGGAUGACGGCCUUCGGGUUGUAAACCGCUUUCGCCUGUGACGAAGCGUGAGUGACGGUAAUGGGUAAAGAAGCACCGGCUAACUACGUG